rnacentral:lncRNA from 1 species
GUUUCGUAAAUUUAAUGGAUUACUAAAAGUUUGGUUAGCCUUUGAUGUGAAAAUUAUGUUGACACUCAAAUUAACCCUCUUUUUAUUAUUUGUAGCAAGUAUGUAAGUAGGGAUCGUUCUAGGCCGGGGAUUAGGAGGGAUUGCAAAAUCACUUGGACUUGACUCAAAAACGUAAAAACAAGUUUAAAACACUAACUAGACUCAAAGAAUGUAAAACUAAACUUUAAAACACUAAAACAAACCAAAAGACUCAAAACA